rnacentral:rRNA from 1 species
GGUUAAGCGACUAAGCGUACACGGUGGAUGCCCUGGCAGUCAGAGGCGAUGAAGGACGUGCUAAUCUGCGAUAAGCGUCGGUAAGGUGAUAUGAACCGUUAUAACCGGCGAUUUCCGAAUGGGGAAACCCAGUGUGAUUCGUCACACUAUCAUUAACUGAAUCCAUAGGUUAAUGAGGCGAACCGGGGGAACUGAAACAUCUAAGUACCCCGAGGAAAAGAAAUCAACCGAGAUUCCCCCAGUAGCGGCGAGCGAACGGGGAGCAGCCCAGAGCCUGAAUCAGUGUGUGUGUUAGUGGAAGCGUCUGGAAAGGCGCGCGAUACAGGGUGACAGCCCCGUACACAAAAAUGCACAUGCUGUGAGCUCGAUGAGUAGGGCGGGACACGUGGUAUCCUGUCUGAAUAUGGGGGGACCAUCCUCCAAGGCUAAAUACUCCUGACUGACCGAUAGUGAACCAGUACCGUGAGGGAAAGGCGAAAAGAACCCCGGCGAGGGGAGUGAAAAAGAACCUGAAACCGUGUACGUACAAGCAGUGGGAGCACGCUUAGGCGUGUGACUGCGUACCUUUUGUAUAAUGGGUCAGCGACUUAUAUUCUGUAGCAAGGUUAACCGAAUAGGGGAGCCGAAGGGAAACCGAGUCUUAACUGGGCGUUAAGUUGCAGGGUAUAGACCCGAAACCCGGUGAUCUAGCCAUGGGCAGGUUGAAGGUUGGGUAACACUAACUGGAGGACCGAACCGACUAAUGUUGAAAAAUUAGCGGAUGACUUGUGGCUGGGGGUGAAAGGCCAAUCAAACCGGGAGAUAGCUGGUUCUCCCCGAAAGCUAUUUAGGUAGCGCCUCGUGAAUUCAUCUCCGGGGGUAGAGCACUGUUUCGGCAAGGGGGUCAUCCCGACUUACCAACCCGAUGCAAACUGCGAAUACCGGAGAAUGUUAUCACGGGAGACACACGGCGGGUGCUAACGUCCGUCGUGAAGAGGGAAACAACCCAGACCGCCAGCUAAGGUCCCAAAGUCAUGGUUAAGUGGGAAACGAUGUGGGAAGGCCCAGACAGCCAGGAUGUUGGCUUAGAAGCAGCCAUCAUUUAAAGAAAGCGUAAUAGCUCACUGGUCGAGUCGGCCUGCGCGGAAGAUGUAACGGGGCUAAACCAUGCACCGAAGCUGCGGCAGCGACGCUGAUGCGUUGUUGGGUAGGGGAGCGUUCUGUAAGCCUGCGAAGGUGUGCUGUGAGGCAUGCUGGAGGUAUCAGAAGUGCGAAUGCUGACAUAAGUAACGAUAAAGCGGGUGAAAAGCCCGCUCGCCGGAAGACCAAGGGUUCCUGUCCAACGUUAAUCGGGGCAGGGUGAGUCGACCCCUAAGGCGAGGCCGAAAGGCGUAGUCGAUGGGAAACAGGUUAAUAUUCCUGUACUUGGUGUUACUGCGAAGGGGGGACGGAGAAGGCUAUGUUGGCCGGGCGACGGUUGUCCCGGUUUAAGCGUGUAGGCUGGUUUUCCAGGCAAAUCCGGAAAAUCAAGGCUGAGGCGUGAUGACGAGGCACUACGGUGCUGAAGCAACAAAUGCCCUGCUUCCAGGAAAAGCCUCUAAGCAUCAGGUAACAUCAAAUCGUACCCCAAACCGACACAGGUGGUCAGGUAGAGAAUACCAAGGCGCUUGAGAGAACUCGGGUGAAGGAACUAGGCAAAAUGGUGCCGUAACUUCGGGAGAAGGCACGCUGAUAUGUAGGUGAAGUCCCUCGCGGAUGGAGCUGAAAUCAGUCGAAGAUACCAGCUGGCUGCAACUGUUUAUUAAAAACACAGCACUGUGCAAACACGAAAGUGGACGUAUACGGUGUGACGCCUGCCCGGUGCCGGAAGGUUAAUUGAUGGGGUCAGCGCAAGCGAAGCUCUUGAUCGAAGCCCCGGUAAACGGCGGCCGUAACUAUAACGGUCCUAAGGUAGCGAAAUUCCUUGUCGGGUAAGUUCCGACCUGCACGAAUGGCGUAAUGAUGGCCAGGCUGUCUCCACCCGAGACUCAGUGAAAUUGAACUCGCUGUGAAGAUGCAGUGUACCCGCGGCAAGACGGAAAGACCCCGUGAACCUUUACUAUAGCUUGACACUGAACAUUGAGCCUUGAUGUGUAGGAUAGGUGGGAGGCUUUGAAGUGUGGACGCCAGUCUGCAUGGAGCCGACCUUGAAAUACCACCCUUUAAUGUUUGAUGUUCUAACGUGGACCCGUAAUCCGGGUUGCGGACAGUGUCUGGUGGGUAGUUUGACUGGGGCGGUCUCCUCCUAAAGAGUAACGGAGGAGCACGAAGGUUGGCUAAUCCUGGUCGGACAUCAGGAGGUUAGUGCAAUGGCAUAAGCCAGCUUGACUGCGAGCGUGACGGCGCGAGCAGGUGCGAAAGCAGGUCAUAGUGAUCCGGUGGUUCUGAAUGGAAGGGCCAUCGCUCAACGGAUAAAAGGUACUCCGGGGAUAACAGGCUGAUACCGCCCAAGAGUUCAUAUCGACGGCGGUGUUUGGCACCUCGAUGUCGGCUCAUCACAUCCUGGGGCUGAAGUAGGUCCCAAGGGUAUGGCUGUUCGCCAUUUAAAGUGGUACGCGAGCUGGGUUUAGAACGUCGUGAGACAGUUCGGUCCCUAUCUGCCGUGGGCGCUGGAGAAUUGAGGGGGGCUGCUCCUAGUACGAGAGGACCGGAGUGGACGCAUCACUGGUGUUCGGGUUGUCAUGCCAAUGGCACUGCCCGGUAGCUAAAUGCGGAAGAGAUAAGUGCUGAAAGCAUCUAAGCACGAAACUUGCCCCGAGAUGAGUUCUCCCUGACCCUUUAAGGGUCCUGAAGGAACGUUGAAGACGACGACGUUGAUAGGCCGGGUGUGUAAGCGCAGCGAUGCGUUGAGCUAACCGGUACUAAUGAACCGUGAGGCUUAACCUU